AUUUCGAGUUUGGAUCAACGAUGCUUUCCACGCCGACCAAUCGAUGCUUUCCGCUCCGAUAUCAAUCUAACUCUUACGGAUCAUGUUGCAGAGAUGAUCAUCAUCGGCUUUUCACGUCUUCAAUGUCUACUAAUUGGAUCAUCAUCGAAUUAGAGAGUUUUGGUUUUAUUUCACUCAAAGAAGAAAGAAUUAGAAGAAGCUGCGUGAGAGCGUUUUUUUUUUUUAAUCUAGAAAGCAAAAGUGUUAAUUAGGUCUAAUCCCAAUCGAUGGAUCCAUGUUGUAUAGAGAGAUUACAAUAAAGCCGUUGGAGUCGGUUAUAUUUCUUUAUUUUAAGACAAAAAGAUUCAAUAGAAAA
rnacentral:sRNA from 1 species